GAUGAACGCUAGCUACAGGCUUAACACAUGCAAGUCGAGGGACCGGCGCACGGGUGAGUAACGCGUAUCCAACCUGCCCACCACUUGGGGAUAACCUUGCGAAAGUAAGACUAAUACCCAAUGGUGAUGGAUGGGGAUGCGUCUGAUUAGCUUGUUGGCGGGGUAACGGCCCACCAAGGCGACGAUUAGUAGGGGUUCUGAGAGGAAGGUCCCCCACAUUGGAACUGAUACACGGUCCAAACUCCUACGGGAGGCAGCAGUGAGGAAUAUUGGUCAAUGGACGAGAGUCUGAACCAGCCAAGUAGCGUGCAGGAUGACGGCCUAUGGGUUGUAAACUGCUUUUAUAAGGGAAUAAGUACCUUAUGAAUAAGGACCGGCUAAUUCCGUGCCAGCAGCCGCGGUAAUACGGAAGGUCCGGGCGUUAUCCGGAUUUAUUGGGUUUAAAGGGAGCGUAGGCCGGAGAUUAAGCGUGUUUGUGAAAAUGUAA
rnacentral:rRNA from 1 species